rnacentral:lncRNA from 1 species
UGGUGGGUGUGGGAGCUGCUGUCCACGGCUCAGAGCCGGGAAGCCAGGAAGAGUCUUCAGGAGCUCACAGGGAAUGCGGCAAAAAUCUACGUGAAGGCGCCACGGCGGAGUCUGUAAACAAGAGCGGCAAUGCCGGGACCCUUGCCGGAGGUGAGAGCAGCCUGCUCGGGGCGGUUAGAGCUGGGAGAAGCCCUGCG